rnacentral:rRNA from 1 species
GUCCACGCCGUAAACGAUGAGAACUAGAUGUUAGGGGGCUUAGACCUUUUAGUAUCGCAGCAAACGCGUUAAGUUCUCCGCCUGGGGAGUACGGCCGCAAGGUUAAAACUCAAAUGAAUUGACGGGGGCCCGCACAAGCGGUGGAGCAUGUGGUUUAAUUCGAUGCAACGCGAAGAACCUUACCUACCUUUGAAUCCACGGAAUCCUGCAGAAAUGUGGGAGUGCCUUCGGGAACCGUGAGACAGGUGCUGCAUGGCUGUCGU